rnacentral:rRNA from 1 species
AUUGAACGCUGGCGGCAGGCCUAACACAUGCAAGUCGAGCGAGCGGCGGACGGGUGAGUAAUGUAUGGGGAUCUGCCCGAUGGAGGGGGAUAACUACUGGAAACGGUAGCUAAUACCGCAUACUAUCGGAUGAACCCAUAUGGGAUUAGCUAGUAGGUGGGGUAAAGGCUCACCUAGGCGACGAUCUCUAGCUGGUCUGAGAGGAUGAUCAGCCACACUGGGACUGAGACACGGCCCAGACUCCUACGGGAGGCAGCAGUGGGGAAUCUUGGACAAUGGACGAAAGUCUGACCGAGCAAUGCCGCGUGAGUGAAGAAGGUUUUCGGAUUGUAAAGCACGUUGUUAGAGAAGAGGAUCUAACCAGAAAGCCACGGCUAACUCCGUGCCAGCAGCCGCGGUAAUUC